AGGAACGUACCCCAAACUGAGGGAUAAGCACCAGAAAUGGUGUCUAAUACCGCAUGUGCUCUAAGGAGUAAAGCUUCGGCGGUUUGGGAGCGGCCUGCGUCUGAUUAGCUAGAUGGUGAGGUAAUGGCUCACCAUGGCGACGAUCAGUAGCUGGUCUGAGAGGAUGAUCAGCCAGACUGGGACUGAGACACGGCCCAGACUCCUACGGGAGGCAGCAGUAGGGAAUUUUCCACAAUGGACGAAAGUCUGAUGGAGCAACGCCGCGUGCAGGAUGAAUGCCUUCGGGUUGUAAACUGCUUUUAUAUGUGACGAAUAUGACGGUAGCAUAUGAAUAAGGAUCGGCUAACUCCGUGCCAGCAGCCGCGGUCAUACGGAGGAUCCAAGCGUUAUCCGGAAUUACUGGGCGUAAAGAGUUGCGUAGGCGGCAUAGUAAGCAGAUAGUGAAAGCGUGUGGCUCAACCAUACUCACAUUAUCUGAACUGCUAAGCUAGAGGAUGAGAGAGGUCACUGGAAUUCCUAGUGUAGGAGUGAAAUCCGUAGAUAUUAGGAGGAACACCAAUGGCGUAGGCAGGUGACUGGCUCAUUCCUGACGCUCAGGCACGAAAGCGUGGGUAGCAAACGGGAUUAGAUACCCCGGUAGUCCACGCCGUAAACGAUGGAUGCUAGCUGUUAGAGGUAUCGACCCCUCUAGUAGCGAAGCUAACGCGUUAAGCAUCCCGCCUGUGGAGUACGGUCGCAAGACUAAAACAUAA
rnacentral:rRNA from 1 species